UUGGCGGCAUGCCUUACACAAGCAAGUUGAACGGUAACAGGUCUUUGGAUGCUGACGAGUGGCGAACGGGUGAGUAAUACAUCGGAACGUGCCCGAUCGUGGGGGAUAACGAAGCGAAAGCUUUGCUAAUACCGCAUACGAUCUACGGAUGAAAGCAGGGGACCGCAAGGCCUUGCGCGAACGGAGCGGCCGAUGGCAGAUUAGGUAGUUGGUGGGGUAAAGGCUUACCAAGCCUACGAUCUGUAGCUGGUCUGAGAGGACGACCAGCCACACUGGGACUGAGACACGGCCCAGACUCCUACGGGAGGCAGCAGUGGGGAAUUUUGGACAAUGGGCGCAAGCCUGAUCCAGCAAUGCCGCGUGCAGGAUGAAGGCCUUCGGGUUGUAAACUGCUUUUGUACGGAACGAAAAGGCUCUGGUUAAUACCUGGGGCUCAUGACGGUACCGUAAGAAUAAGCACCGGCUAACUACGUGCCAGCAGCCGCGGUAAUACGUAGGGUGCGAGCGUUAAUCGGAAUUACUGGGCGUAAAGCGUGCGCAGGCGGUUUUGUAAGACAGAGGUGAAAUCCCCGGGCUCAACCUGGGAACUGCCUUUGUGACUGCAAAGCUGGAGUGCGGCAGAGGG
rnacentral:rRNA from 1 species